rnacentral:rRNA from 1 species
AGUGAACGCUGGCGGUAGGCCUAACACAUGCAAGUCGAACGGCAGCACAGUAAGAGCUUGCUCUUACGGGUGGCGAGUGGCGGACGGGUGAGGAAUACAUCGGAAUCUACUUUUUCGUGGGGGAUAACGUAGGGAAACUUACGCUAAUACCGCAUACGACCUACGGGUGAAAGCAGGGGAUCUUCGGACCUUGCGCGAUUGAAUGAGCCGAUGUCGGAUUAGCUAGUUGGCGGGGUAAAGGCCCACCAAGGCGACGAUCCGUAGCUGGUCUGAGAGGAUGAUCAGCCACACUGGAACUGAGGCACGGUCCAGAAUCCUACGGGAGGCAGCAGUGGGGAAUAUUGGACCAUGGGCGCAAGCCUGAUCCAGCAAUACCGCGUGGGGGAAGAAGGCCUUCGGGUUGUAAAGCCCUUUUGUUGGGAAAGAAAAGCAGCAGGUUAAUACCCCGCUGUUCUGACGGUACCCAAAGAAUAAGCACCGGCUAACUUCGUG